UGUAAAUUAUAUUGAAAAAUUUGCCAUGCAAAAAGAUUAAGCGUUAAUGAAAUAAUUGUAAAAUUUUAAAGAAAAGAUGGGUUAGACGUCUUUCCUUAAGAUGCACGUUUGGCAUAUCUUUAAUUAUUUUCGAUAUCCAUUUGAACCAUUCGAUAUGUCUAUAAUGCAAUUCUUAAAACAAGCUUCGAGAUGAUUUAAGCGAUUUGUGGAUUCAGCUGCCGUACGAUUGUCGAAGAAUUUUUGAAGUUAUCAUGUUAUUGAAAAUCUUGAAAUACUAGUUUGAAAUGGCCUAUUUUGACAAUUCGUAAGAUUUGCUAAGAUUGACUGUUUUGCAUGCCAUUAACAACGUGGAACUAGGUCGUGAAUAUUUCGAAAUGGUAUUAAGAAUGCAAUAUUUCGACUUCUUUUGUCAUUCCAUAAUGACCUGAGAAUUGAGACAAAAACAUAAAAAAUUUAAUGUGGUAAAAAAAAAGAAAGAAAUAAAACUUGCCCAGAAGUCGGGGAUCAUGUCUAGCCACCCUUGUCAAAACUUUGGCUUUGGUUCACCUCAUUUACUAAAACGGAAAAAUGGAAAAGAUUUCAACAUGACUCUGAAAUUCAAAAUCGGACAUUUUAAUCUCUUCUAGCUAACCAUUAAGUGUUUGCUUUUGCUUCUGCUUCUGUCUGUGUGCAUAUGUAUGUAUUAUGCAUAUAUAAAAUCAGGAUAUUUGGCAUUUCACAAAUAUGCACAUUGACACGCUAAUAUGUGUAUUUGUUCGUGAAAAAAAUUAUAAUGCUUAUAGACAUGCUAAUAAAUGUAUUUUUCCGUGAAAGAUGUUUAACUAUGUACUAUAAAAAUUAUUAAGAAACCACUUUUGCACUGGAAAAUCAUAAUUAGGUGCUUCUGUAAGAAUGAACAUAUUGGUAGAAUUGUUCACGUGAUAAACUUUCCACUGGGCAUGUUGUUAUGUGAAAGAUAUUGUUGCAAUGAACAAUGGUUGUAAGCUUCGACAUUUUUCUGCAUCUCCACAAUUAUCUUCUCUACUUUAUCAAUGUGAAUACCUAGAAGGUAUGGCACAGGUCUUAUAAACUGUUCUCAUAUGUGGUCACUACACAUAUUUCAUUUGCAAGACUGAUAUGUGUAGGGAGAUAAAUGUGGUAUUUACAUCUGACUUGUGUGUUCUGUCUCCAGUUCAUUGGAAAUUAUCAGGAAACAUGUGGUAUCAGGACUGGGUGGGGUGCUGGUAAGUGCCAUCUGGUUUUCUGUCUAAUUCUUUGCAUUGUUUACUUAAAAUGGAAGCUUAAAAAGUUUAUCACGUAUCUUUCAGAUUUUUUCGCCUUUUCCUUCUGUCCAUCAUAAGCUUCUCGAUUAUCUGAACGUUCUUCUCUAGCUCUUUCCGUUCAAUGCAAUGCAAUUAUAAAUGGACAUGUCUCUUAACUUUGCGAACUUCACAAUAUUUAUUGCCAGUCUUCAGAACGCCAGCCUCGUGAUAUCUGAUCUUGCUCUAUCUUUGGUCAUUUAUUUAGCCCAGAUUUUGGAUAAUAAUCUCCUAAGUUAGAACUUGGAAUUUAGGACUUAUGCUUAUAUGGAUGGAACGAAUCUGGAGCAUCGAAGUAAACAAGGGUUCUCUUUACAUUUUUCGUCUCCUAGUGAAUAGUGAAGUGGUUGGGGGAGGCCAGAGCUGCAUCUAUAUUCUCUGGCAUUCUUUUGGUCAAUAUGAAAAGGGGAAUGGAUGAAAGAAUUUUAAUCUAUACAUAGAUUUAUGUGAUGUUAAAGGUGAGGGUCCCGCGGCCAUCUGCCUUUUUCUUCUUUUGUUUUCAUUGUAACCAGGAACUGUAUACUGAAUUAAAUGUUACUGAAAUACUGAAUCAGAAAUCUGAGAUUCAUUCCAGGAUGUGGUUAUCAAUUUCCUUCUAGUUCCAUCUGUUAUUACUGAAAACUCACCCUCUGAAACCAAGUGUGGGAUGACCUCUCUGACGUUGGACAUGGGUUGGGGGGGGGCAAAGAGGUAAAAUGAUGCCAUUUAUUGUAACCAAAGACAAGCUCUAGCUUAUCAAACUAAUGAGGGUGAUUACAUAAAUUACAACUUUGAUUUCUCUCUUUCCCUGAAUUUUUCAUUAGAAACUACUCUUUGUUUCUCAUUUCUCUCGGGAACUAUGGCGUCAGCUUGUGCAUAUGACAUUGCAUCUUUAGCCAUGUGCUUAGCUUGAAUGCAACCAAAAGGUUUUGCUGAAAGUAAACAAUGGAGGGUUCACGUGCAUAAGCUCCCGUUUGGCCCUCAUUAAAAUAAUAAUUUAUUUUUCUCUCUUCUUAUCAAUAACACAUUCUCCAAUAAAAUAAUAUUACAUGAAAAUCCAAGACUUUUUCUUCUUUUUUAACCACGUAUUUUUCAAAAAAGUACUACUCCAAAAUUUAUAAUCUCAAAUAAUGGAGGACAAACGGGGGCUAAAUCUGGCUAAAAACUGCAAGAUUGUUCUAUUAAAUAAGUGUAAUAGUGGGUUUCUUUUAGCAAGAUUAAAUUAAUGAAUUGGUAUGUGAGAAUUAUUCCGUAAACUUAUGGUCAUCUUUUUGUGAUGCAGUUAUAUUUGCAGAAGCAGUUGCGCUUAUAGCUGCUAGCACUGUUCAUCGAGUUUGUAUCACAACAUGGUAAUGCAAUCAUGCUUCUGAUCUUUACUUGAUCGUCAUUGUAUUUUUAUAUUUUGAAUAAGAAGUCCAAUUUUAGUUGUGUAUUUAAUUUGAGUUCAUAAAGUAGGAGGCAUUAUAGAAUACAAUUUCAACUGAACUGGUUCCUUGUAGUUUCACAUGAACAGUAGAAAGUAUAAGUAGUGCGGCCAAAGGAGUCCUUACUGGUUGAUCUCCAUUUUGGUUAAAUUGAAAGUAUCCCUGAGCUCAGACUUUUGUUGACUACUAGGUUCUUUAGAUAUAUGUUCAAGCUAUACCUACACGAAUAAAAUCAUAUUCAACUCUAUGUGAUGUGCUUUUAUCUGCUGUCCAAGCCCCUACCUUUAAAAGACUUUGAAUAGAAGAAGGCUUACCAAAAAUUAGGGUAGAGUUGUGCAGUCAAGUUUGUAGUUAGAGAAGAGUCAUGAAUGCAUCUUUGUCCUGCACUAAUGAAUAUGGAAUUCCAAUCCAUUUUGAGCCACCUCAUCCAUAUGCGUGUUCUUACUAUUUAUAACUUUCAAAAUAAAACCACGUUUCUCUGUGGGAGUCAUCAUCGCUUUUGGGGUGGCUUCCACUUCUCUGAAGGGAACGAUCUCUCAUAUUCCAGGGAGCAGCCUAACUAUUGGUCUAUCAACUGGCCAUGAGAUAUUGAUAUAUGUAACAAACUGCUUCAAUGGCAUCUUGGGAUUGACCAUGAAUUUUGAUUUUAUGUAAUAAGCUAAAAUUCUUACACCUUCUCAAGUCAUAGUCUAUUAUGUUGUUAUUGCCUUGAAAAAUACUGAUGAAAGAACUUAAAUGCUAUAACAAAUUAUUUGCUGUGGAAUUUUUUUUUUCACUCUGAUUAAGUGCUUUUUGGAUACCAAUGCAGCUUUCUGUUUUCUGCGGGGCUAUUAUAUGAGAUCAACAAACUUUCGGGAAUGAUGCUUUCCAAAAGUGAAUCCAAAAGUAAAAGGUAUUGAGUUGAAAUUGUUGCCUUGGAGGAACUGCUUCCUUCAAGAACUCUCUUGGGGCUUUUUGUUAGAUACUUGCAUAAGCGAGAUGCACUGGUUAGUGGAAUAGACUGAGAAGUUUGAAUAUGGAUGGUUAAAUUUUGUGGUUAUUAGAUGCUAAGGGGCCUUAUUAAUAUAUAGAUAUAACCUCAUUUGUGCAACUGCAAUGGUAAGAAUUAAAUGAACAUAUGAGGCGUCUUAUUUAUUUUUCAAUUUUUAUGUUAUACUUCUAUGAGACUUAUUUACAUCGUUCU
rnacentral:lncRNA from 1 species